rnacentral:rRNA from 1 species
AGGUUAAGUUAACAAGGGCGCAUGGUGAAUGCCUUGGCACUAGGAGCCGAUGAAGGACGGGACUAACACCGAUAUGCUUCGGGGAGCUGUACGUAAGCUAUGAUCCGGAGAUUUCCGAAUGGGGCAACCCAGCAGUUUUAAUCAACUGUUACCACUAGAUGAAUUCAUAGUCUAGUUGGAGGUAAACGCUGUGAACUGAAACAUCUCAUUAGCAGCAGGAAUAUAAAGAAAUUUCGAUUCCCUAAGUAGCGGCGAGCGAACGGGGAACAGCCCAAACCAAAGUGCUUGCACUUUGGGGUUGUAGGACUGAACAUUUGAGUUACCAAAGAACUUGAUAGUCGAAGGAUUUGGGAAAAUCCGCCAUAGAUGGUGAUAGCCCAGUAGAUUAAAUCAAAUUCUCUCAGUUCAGGAUCCUGAGUACGGCGGAACACGUGAAAUUCCGUCGGAAUCCGGGAGGACCAUCUCCCAAGGCUAAAUACUACCUAGUGACCGAUAGUGAACCAGUACCGUGAGGGAAAGGUGAAAAGCACCCCGGGAGGGGAGUGAAAUAGUUCCUGAAACCAUGUGCCUACAAUAAGUCAGAGCGCGUUAAUGCGUGAUGGCGUGCCUUUUGUAGAAUGAACCGGCGAGUUAUGAUCCCGUGCAAGGUUAAGACUAAAAAGUCGGAGCCGUAGCGAAAGCGAGUCUGAAAUGGGCGUUUUGAGUACGAGGUUAUAGACCCGAAACCAGGUGACCUAUCCAUGUCCAGGUUGAAGGUGCGGUAAAACGCGCUGGAGGACCGAACCCGUGUAAGUUGAAAAUUGCUGGGAUGAGGUGUGGAUAGCGGUGAAAUUCCAAACGAACUUGGAGAUAGCUGGUUCUCUCCGAAAUAGCUUUAGGGCUAGCCUCGGAAUUAGGAUCAUGGAGGUAGAGCACUAUUUGGACUAGGGGCCCGUCUUGGGUUACUGAAUUCAGAUAAACUCCGAAUGCCAUUGAUUCAUAUCCGGGAGUCAGACGAUGAGUGAUAAGAUCCACCGUCGAAAGGGGAACAGCCCAGACCAUCAGUUAAGGUCCCUAAAUGUAUGCUAAGUGGAAAAGGAUGUGGAGUUGCAUAGACAACUAGGAUGUUGGCUCAGAAGCAGCCACCAUUUAAAGAGUGCGUAAUAGCUCACUAGUCGAGUGAUUCUGCGCCGAAAAUGUACCGGGGCUAAGCAUACUACCGAAACCAUGGAUGCGACCAUUAGGUCGCGUGAUAGGAGAGCGUUCUAAGGGCGGUGAAGCAAGAUCGUGAGGACUUGUGGAGCGCUUAGAAGUGAGAAUGCCGGUAUGAGUAGCGAAAGAUAGGUGAGAAUCCUAUCCACCGAAUGACUAAGGUUUCCUGGGGAAGGCUCGUCCUCCCAGGGUUAGUCGGGACCUAAGUCGAGGCCGAGAGGCGUAGACGAUGGAUAACAGGUUGAGAUUCCUGUACUAGUUAAGUGCGUUUGAGCAAUGGAGGGACGCAGGAGGCUAAGAUGUGCAUUCUGUUGGAUUAGAAUGUCCAAGCAGUAAGUCUUGUGAAGAGUCAAAUGCUUUUCACUUUAAGGACAAGCUGUGAUGGGGAGCGAAAUUUAGUAGCGAAGCGUCUGAUGUCACACUGCCGAGAAAAGCUUCUAGUGAGUACUUAACUACCCGUACCGCAAACCGACACAGGUAGUCGAGGAGAGAAUCCUAAGGUGAGCGAGUGAACUCUCGUUAAGGAACUCGGCAAAAUGACCCCGUAACUUCGGGAGAAGGGGUGCUGAUCGCAAGAUCAGCCGCAGUGAAUAGGCCCAGGCGACUGUUUAUCAAAAACACAGGUCUCUGCAAAAUCGUAAGAUGACGUAUAGGGGCUGACGCCUGCCCGGUGCUGGAAGGUUAAAAGGAUGGGUUAGCUUCGGCGAAGCUCAGAAUUGAAGCCCCAGUAAACGGCGGCCGUAACUAUAACGGUCCUAAGGUAGCGAAAUUCCUUGUCGGGUAAGUUCCGACCCGCACGAAAGGCGUAACGAUCUGGGCACUGUCUCAACGAGAGACUCGGUGAAAUUAUAUUGUCCGUGAAGAUGCGGACUACCCGCGACAGGACGGAAAGACCCCAUGGAGCUUUACUGUAGCUUGAUAUUGAGUGUUUGUACAGCUUGUACAGGAUAGGUAGGAGCCAUAGAAACCGGAACGCUAGUUUCGGUGGAGGCGUUGGUGGGAUACUACCCUCGCUGUAUGACCACUCUAACCCGCACCACUAAUCGUGGUGGGAGACAGUGUCAGGUGGGCAGUUUGACUGGGGCGGUCGCCUCCUAAAAAGUAACGGAGGCGCCCAAAGGUUCCCUCAGAAUGGUUGGAAAUCAUUCGCAGAGUGUAAAGGCACAAGGGAGCUUGACUGCGAGACAGACAGGUCGAGCAGGGACGAAAGUCGGGCUUAGUGAUCCGGUGGUACCGUAUGGAAGGGCCAUCGCUCAACGGAUAAAAGCUACCCUGGGGAUAACAGGCUUAUCUCCCCCAAGAGUCCACAUCGACGGGGAGGUUUGGCACCUCGAUGUCGGCUCAUCGCAUCCUGGGGCUGUAGUCGGUCCCAAGGGUUGGGCUGUUCGCCCAUUAAAGCGGUACGCGAGCUGGGUUCAGAACGUCGUGAGACAGUUCGGUCCCUAUCCGUCGCGGGCGUAGGAAAUUUGAGAGGACCUGUCCUUAGUACGAGAGGACCGGGAUGGACAUACCUCUGGUGUACCAGUUGUGCCGCCAGGCGCAUCGCUGGGUAGCUACGUAUGGAUGUGAUAAACGCUGAAAGCAUCUAAGUGUGAAACACACCUCGAGAUGAGAUUUCCCAUUCCUUUAUGGAAGUAAGACCCCUGAAAGAUGAUCAGGUAGAUAGGUUAGAAGUGGCAGUGCGGUGACGCAUGAAGCGGACUAAUACUAAUCGGUCGAGGACUUAACCAAG